rnacentral:tRNA from 1 species
UCAUAACCAGCGGUGGUUCAGUGGUAGAAUGCUCGCCUGUAACGCGGGCGGCCCGGGUUUCGAUUCCCGGCCGAUGAA